rnacentral:rRNA from 1 species
UACAGAGGUCUCAAGCGUUGUUCGGAUUCAUUGGGCGUAAAGGGUGCGUAGGCGGCGCGGUAAGUCGGGUGUGAAAUCUUGGAGCUUAACUCCGAAACUGCAUUCGAUACUGCCGUGCUUGAGGACUAGAGAGGAGACUGGAAUUUACGGUGUAGCGGUGAAAUGCGUAGAGAUCAUGAGGAAGACCAGUGGCGAAGGCGGGUCUCUGGACAGUUCCUGACACUGAGACACGAAGGCCAGGGGAGCAAACGGG